rnacentral:rRNA from 1 species
UACGAAGGGGGCUAGCGUUGCUCGGAAUCACUGGACGUAAAGCGCACGUAGGCGGAUUGCUAAGUCAGGGGUGAAAUCCUGGAGCUCAACUCCAGAACUGCCUUUGAUACUGGCGACCUUGAGUCCGGGAGAGGUGAGUGGAACUGCGAGUGUAGAGGUGAAAUUCGUAGAUAUUCGCAAGAACACCAGUGGCGAAGGCGGCUCACUGGCCCGGUACUGACGCUGAGGUGCGAAAGCGUGGGGAGCAAACAGG